CUUGAAACUCUAAAAUGCUUUUAGAGAGAUAUCAGAUGAAAGAGUGUGCAUAUCUAGUUAUUUGAAGUAUGCCUAUGUAUGAAUUGAUGUAGUCAGAAAAAUCAGAUGGCUUCAGUGACUAUGCUACAGGAUGAUAUGAGAUCACAGACAGAAAUUUCAUCAAGGAUCAAGCAUAAAUUACAGAAUAUUUCAACUAUAAUUUAAAUGGCUGGAAUGAAGUUCCUGACACUGGUGAUGGUUUUGGAAAAGCAAAGAGACAUUCUGAUGCCACCUUGUAUUGAGCCUACAAUACUCCAAAAAUUUUCUAUCAAAUUAUUUUGAUAUUUAAUAUAUCUUUUAGUUUAAUUUUCAAGUUUAAGCUAAGUAAAUUUUUAUUUUUCUUAACCACA